AUUGAACGCUAGCGGGAUGCCUUACACAUGCAAGUCGAACGGCAGCGCGGACUUCGGUCUGGCGGCGAGUGGCGAACGGGUGAGUAAUGUAUCGGAACGUGCCCAGUAGCGGGGGAUAACCACUCGAAAGAGUAGCUAAUACCGCAUACGCCCUACGGGGGAAAGGGGGGAAUCGCAAGACCUCGCACUAUUGGAGCGGCCGAUAUCGGAUUAGCUAGUUGGUGAGGUAAAGGCUCACCAAGGCGACGAUCCGUAGCUGGUUUGAGAGGACGACCAGCCACACUGGGACUGAGACACGGCCCAGACUCCUACGGGAGGCAGCAGUGGGGAAUUUUGGACAAUGGGGGCAACCCUGAUCCAGCCAUUCCGCGUGUGCGAUGAAGGCCUUCGGGUUGUAAAGCACUUUUGGCAGGAAAGAAAUCGCACGGAUUAAUACUCUGUGUGGAUGACGGUACCUGCAGAAUAAGCACCGGCUAACUACGUGCCAGCAGCCGCCGUAA
rnacentral:rRNA from 1 species